rnacentral:pre_miRNA from 1 species
CCGGGUUUCUGGAUCCGCCUGUAAGGAGGAUGGGGUCGCCGGACCUGGUGGUCCCGGGCUCCUCGCUGGGAGAUGUGGCGGGUGAA